rnacentral:rRNA from 1 species
AACGAACGCUGGCGGCAGGCUUAACACAUGCAAGUCGAACGCCCACUUCGGUGGGAGUGGCAGACGGGUGAGUAACGCGUGGGAACAUACCUUUUGCUUCGGAAUAUUCCCGGGAAACUGGGAGCAAUACCGAAUGUGCCCUGAGGGGGAAAGAUUUAUCGGCAAAAGAUUGGUCCGCGUUAGAUUAGGUAGUUGGUAGGGUAAAGGCCUACCAAGCCUACGAUCUAUAGCUGGUCUGAGAGGAUGAUCAGCCACAUUGGGACUGAGACACGGCCCAAACUCCUACGGGAGGCAGCAGUGGGGAAUAUUGGACAAUGGGCGCAAGCCUGAUCCAGCCAUGCCGCGUGAAUGAUGAAGGCCUUAGGGUUGUAAAAUUCUUUCACCGGGGACGAUAAUGACGGUACCCGGAGAAGAAGCCCCGGCUAACUUCGUG